AGGUAAUGGCCAUGUGAUAAAGUGUGCAGGUAUGUGAUGAAGAAAUUUAAAUUGACUCUGAUACCCCAAUUUUUUGAUCCAUUCCCUAAAACUUAUACUAAUGUUCCAGGUCCCAAAACAAUUUCCAAUACCCAGUCUUCUUAUUUCUAAAUACUGUAAUCCUGUCCCAGGAGACCAUUUUAUGGGGUUCUUUGCCAAGCCUGUUUUUAAUCAGAGUUUCAGAUUAAUCCCAAAUUAUUUCCCAAAACAGAGUUCAGGGAGUAUUAUGCUGUGUUCUUUGGCAUUUAUCUUGAUUAAAUUAUGCGCACUUGCCAAUAUACCUUUCAUUCACCAUUUCCUCCCAGUCUGGCACUUUGGGAUCCUAGAACUGUCAUUGCUUUCUAUUUGGCAAACCCAUUGCUGUAGUGAGUGAACAGUUGAUGUUUGAUAUUAUUAAUGGGAAAAAUGAAACUAGUAGAAAUGGUAGUUUACAAUUCCCUUUUCAGGAAGCUAGGGCCUUUAUUCUCAUUAAUUGCCCCACAUGGUAAAUAGUCCCAUUAAAGGAUUUGAGCUGUGCAUUUUUAUGUUAAAAAAGGCUAAUUCUUUUCACCUUCUUGGUUUUGUUAAGGUUGAUUCAAAUUUGUAACUGGGGAAAGGAUUGCAAAUUACAGAAGCUGUAAUAUACAUAGGCAAGGAUUUUUAAACAUUUCUAAUCAUUAGGUAGCUGAAAAUGUUCAUUGCUCAAUUUGCAAUACUUUACAAAAAGCUUUUAUUUUAGGGUGUUUCAAACUGGGAGCCCAAAACUUGAAUGACC